UACAGAGGUCCCAAGCGUUGUUCGGAUUCACUGGGCGUAAAGGGUGCGUAGGCGGUCGGGUAAGUCUGACGUGAAAUCCCGCAGCUCAACUGCGGAACUGCGUCGGAUACUAUUCGGCUUGAGGAAUGGGGGGGAGACUGGAAUUCUCGGUGUAGCAGUGAAAUGCGUAGAUAUCGAGAGGAACACCAGUGGCGAAGGCGAGUCUCUGGACAUUUCCUGACGCUGAGGCACGAAAGCCAGGGGAGCAAACGGG
rnacentral:rRNA from 1 species